GAUUAUAAAGCAUUGCAAUUCAUUGUUACUGAAAAGAAGAUAUAGAUUAUUUUUU
rnacentral:tRNA from 1 species